AACGAGGCCGACCUGCGGCUGAGUUACCUGCGGAGGGAUCAUCACCGAGUUAGGGUAGUUAUUCACUGCCCGACCUCCCAACCCUGUGUCUACCACACCUUGUUGCUUCGGCGGACCGGUCGACCAACUGGUCGUGACCGCCGGGGGCUGGCUCUGUCCCCCCUGGAGAGCGUCCGCCGAUGGCCCAACCACAAACUCUUGUACCGAAACGUGUCGUCUGAAUAAUUGAGAAAUCAAAUA
rnacentral:misc_RNA from 1 species